rnacentral:rRNA from 1 species
GAUGAACGCUGGCGGCGUGCCUAAUACAUGCAAGUCGAGCGAACAGACGAGGAGCUUGCUCCUCUGACGUUAGCGGCGGACGGGUGAGUAACACGUGGAUAACCUACCUAUAAGACUGGGAUAACUUCGGGAAACCGGAGCUAAUACCGGAUAAUAUAUUGAACCGCAUGGUUCAAUAGUAAAAGACGGUUUUGCUGUCACUUAUAGAUGGAUCCGCGCCGCAUUAGCUAGUUGGUAAGGUAACGGCUUACCAAGGCAACGAUGCGUAGCCGACCUGAGAGGGUGAUCGGCCACACCGGAACUGAGACACGGUCCAGACUCCUACGGGAGGCAGCAGUAGGGAAUCUUCCGCAAUGGGCGAAAGCUUGACGGAGCAACGCCGCGUGAGUGAUGAAGGUCUUCGGAUCGUAAAACUCUGUUAUUAGGGAAGAACAAAUGUGUAAGUAACUAUGCACGUCUUGACGGUACCUAAUCAGAAAGCCACGGCUAACUACGUG